rnacentral:rRNA from 1 species
AAAAACUGAGGUGGUGUAAGAUGGGCCCGCGUCUGAUUAGGUAGUUGGUGGGGUAGAAGCCUACCAAGCCGACGAUCAGUAGCCGACCUGAGAGGGCGACCGGCCACAUUGGGACUGAGACACGGCCCAAACUCCUACGGGAGGCAGCAGUGGGGAAUAUUGCACAAUGGGGGAAACCCUGAUGCAGCGACGCCGCGUGAGUGAGGAAGUAUUUCGGUAUGUAAAGCUCUAUCAGCAGGGAAGAAAAUGACGGUACCUGACUAAGAAGCCCCGGCUAACUACGUGCCAGCAGCCGCGGUAAUACGUAGGGGGCAAGCGUUAUCCGGAUUUACUGGGUGUAAAGGGAGCGUAGACGGAUAAGCAAGUCUGAUGUGAAAAUCCGGGGCCCAACCCCGGAAUUGCAUUGGAAACUGCAUAUCUAGAGUGUCGGAGAGGCAAGUGGAAUUCCUGGUGUAGCGGUGAAAUGCGUAGAUAUCAGGAGGAACACCAGUGGCGAAGGCGGCUUGCUGGACGAUGACUGACGUUGAGGCUCGAAAGCGUGGGGAGCAAACAGGAUUAGAUACCCUGGUA